UUAUUUCAAAAUCAAAUUAAUUGGUCACAGAUUAUCAAAAUUUUAGGUCACAAUUACAUUGUUGAUUACAAAUAACUAAAUAAUUAAUCACAUACAUCAAAUAGUGCUCACAAUUUAAUAGUUAAUCACGAAUAAUCAAAUUUUUUGUCACAUACAACGAACACCUCCGAUCCAAAUCUACCACCGAUACUUGGUCACAAAUCAACCAAACAAUUGGCCACAAUGAUAUCCCACCCCAUCCCUGCCAUAACUACCGCCAACAAAAAAAUUACCACCACACAACCGUCACUUGCACCCCAUAACCGACUCCUGCACAUCAGAUAACCACUACUCAUGGAUUAGAAUACCUACACCACCACCGCCUCUGUACCAUCACCACUAUAACCAUUUGCACUCGUCGCGCCCGCAAAAACCAACAAAAACUUCGACUAGCCAGAUCGACUCAAAAACCACCCCCAAAAAUCUGAAGCGACAACUACGACGAGGACAACCACCCAACACCAUAGCAUCAAACCAUACCACUAUCUCAAAUCAUUGAUUUGAAAAGAGUCCUUAACCUCAGCACCCACCGCCUCACCAUCAUGACCACCACAACAUCAACACCAAUACCAAACUACAGCGACGUCAUCAAACAACUGCAGCAAAAUUGCCCAAAAUCCGAUAAUCACACACUGUCUAGUCACCUAACAAAAUCGAAUACACCAUUAGUUAUAAAGAAGCCAAAUUUCCCAACUUCAAUUACAACAAAUGCCUCCCUAUCUACCUCUCCGUAGCCUGAGAAAUGCAAAGUCCCUUUAGUACCUGCUUUAGAGACUCUGGCUGAGAAAAUCCAAUUCUCUGUGAAUGAGAUCUAUCAACCCUCAUUGGCUUCUUCGAGGGAUUUCUUGGCGAGUCCAAGAGAUCCAGACUCGCUGUUGUGGCAACCACUGCACUUGCGCCCAAAAUGACAGAGGUAUUGACCAGCGCAAAAAAAGAGAACAAGGUGUAGUUACUGAAUAGAGAUGGAGAUGAAGGCUGUUUGGCGGUGGAGGUGGAGGUGGCUGGCGACCGGAGAGAGAGAAGUGAAAAGUGAGAGAAAGAGGAAAGACAAAAAUGAUUAGGAUUUGGAAGUUAAGUUUGAUAGGGUGGAUGGAGUUGAAUGGGG
rnacentral:lncRNA from 1 species